rnacentral:rRNA from 1 species
GAUGAACGCUGGCGGCGUGCCUAAUACAUGCAAGUCGAGCGAACGGACGAGAAGCUUGCUUCUCUGCUGUUAGCGGCGGACGGGUGAGUAACACGUGGAUAACCUACCUAUAAGACUGGGAUAACUUCGGGAAACCGGAGCUAAUACCGGAUAAUAUUAUGAACCGCAUGGUUCAAAAGUGAAAGACGGUCUUGCUGUCACUUAUAGAUGGAUCCGCGCUGCAUUAGCUAGUUGGUAAGGUAACGGCUUACCAAGGCAACGAUGCAUAGCCGACCUGAGAGGGUGAUCGGCCACACUGGAACUGAGACACGGUCCAGACUCCUACGGGAGGCAGCAGUAGGGAAUCUUCCGCAAUGGGCGAAAGCCUGACGGAGCAACGCCGCGUGAGUGAUGAAGGUCUUCGGAUCGUAAAACUCUGUUAUUAGGGAAGAACAUAUGUGUAAGUAACUGUGCACAUCUUGACGGUACCUAAUCAGAAAGCCACGGCUAACUACGUG